AUUGAACGCUGGCGGCAGGCCUAACACAUGCAAGUCGAGCGGAUGAAGGGAGCUUGCUCCUGGAUUCAGCGGCGGACGGGUGAGUAAUGCCUAGGAAUCUGCCUGGUAGUGGGGGAUAACGUCCUGAAACGGGCGCUAAUACCGCAUACGUCCUGAGGGAGAAAGUGGGGGAUCUUCGGACCUCACGCUAUCAGAUGAGCCUAGGUCGGAUUAGCUAGUUUGUGGGGUAAAGGCCUACCAAGGCGACGAUCCGUAACUGGUCUGAGAGGAUGAUCAGUCACACUGGAACUGAGACACGGUCCAGACUCCUAAGGGAGGCAGCAGUGGGGAAUAUUGGACAAUGGGCGAAAGCCUGAUACAGCCAUGCCGCGUGUGUGAAGACGGUCUUCGGAUUGUAAAGCACUUUAAGUUGGGAGGAAGGGCAGUAAGUUAAUACCUUGCUGUUUUGACGUUACCAACAGAAUAAGCACCGGCUAACUUCGUG
rnacentral:rRNA from 1 species